rnacentral:tRNA from 1 species
GGAUUAUAGCUUAGUGGUUAAGCUCUUGCCUCGAAUGCAUGAGGCACUGGGUUUGAUCCUCAGCACCA